rnacentral:lncRNA from 1 species
AAGAAAAAUGAAAAAAAAAAUUGAUUUAGUCUUCCUACCCCAAAGUUAAUUAGCCCAAAUUCAUGACUCAAAUCCCUUCAAGCUCAAAACAUUGAGCACAUGCCCAUUCCCUAUUUGACCUAACAUAAUUCCUAGCCAUAUAAAAUAAUGCUAACUCCAAAAAUCAAAAUGACCAAAGACUACAACUAAAACAAAAAACGGCGAGACCUAGGCAUUCUAAGAGAUCGGGAACGAAAAUAACAAGAAAAAGGGAACAAAAGAGAAUGAAAAGAACAGGGGAAAAGGAGCCGCUGCUGCCUUCUUCCUUAAAAACACACAAAGAAAAGCACCUCACCCCCAAUUCAAGAGAAGGAACGGACAGCGCCUCACCUCCCCCCAAUUCCUUUGCAAAAAUCUGUCACCUCCCUCAAAGAGCUUAUCAUCUCUCUCAAUUUCUCUCCAAUUCCCAACAACACCUCCUAGAUUCAAAGAGAAAUAAGUCAUGAAAGACUCAUAAAUGCCUCAAAAUCCAGCCAUGAAAUCUGCCCGAAACCGACUCCAAUUACCAGUAAAAAGCAACCACAAAUAGCUCGUUUUCAGUCUGUUUGUCGCCGAGUUUCCGGCGAGUUAGAGGUCCGUUGAGUUAUGACGAGGAUUUUAGUGCAAAGUCGCAUCGUAUUUACGGGUUCGAGGUCGUCGUUGAGGCUUUGGAAGUCGACGAUUGAGUCCUACCAUGCUCACAGUCACUGGGGCAAGCGUUAGGUUCGUUGAUUUUACAACUCUAUUUCAAAUUUGCUUCUGUAGCUUAAUAUUUCCUUUCUAAAACUAUGUUAGAGUAAAUCGAGGCCUUUCAUUAUGACAGAAUGAGGUCAUUCGUUCUUUUAAUAUUAUUGUUGAGUUCUAUCUCUUGAGCUUAAAAUGGUUUGGCAUAUAUGUGUAUGCAUUUGUCGAGAUUCACUUUCACCUAAUCAAGGUUUGUAUUUCUACAUGUUUAUUGUUAUAAUUUCUUUGUGCAUGUUUAUUUUGUUGUUUAAUCAUAUGUGUUUAUUCUUAAAUUCUUUUGUGCUUUUUUCUAGAUUUCUAGUUUUCUGAAUUGAACAUUGGGUGGAACGUUUUUGUUCGCCUCAUCCAGUAAAGUAAGAAAUAAGUACUUAAAAAGGUGUAUUAGCGCACACACUCUCUUCCAAUCAAUUGAUCACUUUAAUUAAUUGUUGUCCCGGUUUCUUUCUGGGCAAGGAAUUAGAAUAGGUCAUGAGUAGUGUUAAAUCAGAAGAAUGUAUAACUCUUAAGCCUCACAAUAAUAUUAACUUAGGAAAUAAAUAACUCACAAAUCUGUAGUAUGCUACUUAGGAAAUAAAUAACUCACAAAUCUGUAGUAUGCUUUAGGCAUGUACUUAAUCUAUCUGUCGUGAUUGUGUACACGUUCGCGUGACAUAAUUAUGAUUUUCAAAAUAAAUUGAGGUAUGCGUUCGCACAACUUCGGCUAAACUUUCUUAAUAAUAAUAAAGUGUGAUUAAUUGUGGGCACGUACGCGUGACAUGAUUUUUGACGCACCAAAGGAAAUGAGUAUACCUACGCGUAACUCAAUUCUUUCACUACGAAUAAUCAAGCAACUAAAAGCGGUAAAAAGAUAAAAGCACAUAGGUUCUAAAAUAAGUAAUUAGACAAUUUAAGCCAAGUAUAAAUCGAUAAGCGACUGUGCUAGAACCACGGAACUCAGGAAUGCCUAACGCCUUCUCCCAUGUUAAAAGAAUUCCUUAUCUAGAAUUUCUGGUUCGCAGACUUUUAAAUAAAGUCGGAAAUUUCCUCGAUUUGGGAUUUAAAAAUAAAUCGGUGACUUGGGACACCAAAUAAACUAUUCCAAGUGGUGUUUGACUCUAAAAAUUAAAUAAAAUAAUCUCAUUUCGAUUAAUGUCACUUUAAUUAGAAAAACUCCCUUAGCCCCCCGGGGGGAUAAAAAGGAGGUGUGACACUGCUUAACUGAAUGUAGUUGGAUUGCAUUUUAAAAUACUAAGGAUUAUAAAUUAUUCAAUACUGAUUCUGAAAUUCUUUUUCUUACCCUCUGUCUUGCAUGGAAGCGGGGUAUGGUCUCUCUGUACUUUGACUUUAAAAACAUCCAUCAACUACAACAGUUGGCCUACAAUAGAUUCAAUCUCUAAUCGAUGCAUAUAUUGCUAUGAAUGCAUGCACGAAGCUUUCAUCUACAUCAGUGCGUAGUCAUGUCACUGAUCAUAGGUUAACGUACUCUAACAUGUAAAGAUAUGUUAGUAUUUUCUUGUAUGACUCACUUGGUGUUCCUCUCAACAAUUGCAUUACUUUUUCUUUUGAUCUCCAUGCUUGCAUGUAGCUUAAGUCCAUACCAUUUGCUUUUUGGAUGUCUUUCUAGAUAUUUGUUGGUGUAUAUAUAGUUUUAAGGUUCAACAAGCUUAUCUUGUACCAUAGCAGCAACAGAAGCUGAAACAUCUUGCUGUUGUGAACAAAAUCUCUUAUCAUUUAAAUAAUUGUGGACAAAAUUGAAAUCUGUCACUUUGAAAAGUUUUGAUACUAGUAGGCUUGAUGCUUUAAGGCUCCAAGUAUAUCUUUCGUCCAUGCAAUCAAUGGUAUACAUGUUUAUAAUACAAAUACAAUUAUGUGCAGACAAGAACAAUGAUAAAAAUAAUGGUACACCCAUAUAGUAUACUGAUAUGCUAAAUAUCUAAUAUGGCGUUGCAAAUCCAUUGCAAUAUUCAAGCUACAGUGAUUAAAAUAAUUAUAUAUUAAUGGAAAAAAUAUGGAUGUCGGUAAAAAACACGGACAAACAAGUAUAAUUCUAUACUCAUAUACUAUAUUGAUAUAGUACACUGAUAUAUUAUUUUUGUAUCAUGUUUUACUGAUAUCAUCUUUUUUGAUAGAAAAUAAAAACACUAUCAGAACAAAGUUUAAUGUGCUUGUAUAUAAAUUUUAAUAUGACAUAAUAAUUAAGCAAUGUAAAUAAGCAUACAGUCUUUACUUCAAAAAAAUGCCGAUGAACCUUUUUGGGCAUGAUUUAUUAACCCGAUAUUGACAUUUUUUCUGACUGCAUAUUGACUCAUAACGAGAAUCAGCAGGCUCUUGUCUUUGUAUAUUUUUCCUUUUUUUACUUUUUGAUGAAUUUGAUCAGUUAUGAUGUUUGCAUCAUCAAGUUGUAUAAUGGUGUCAUCUCCUUCUUGCACAUUAAAAGUGAUGAUCAUAUCAUUGGUUUCAAUUUGUGCAAUUUUUGAUGAAGUUGUAGCAACAUCGACACUGGAGGUGCUUGCACCUAUAGUGUUUUUAGCAAACAACACACAUAGUGGGAGUGUUGUCAUCCCUACACUUGAUUUUUUUUUCCAAUUUCAUGUAAACAAUAACGCUCAUAUCGUUGCAGAUUGUAAUUGGUGGAUAUCCUUGAGCAAUAGCAUACUAAAUAACUAUUUUGCUACUAUCUUUCUGUAGCUUCUUUGCAAUCUCUUUGAGAAUUUGUUUAAAUUUCCAACAGGUCUUUAUUAGAAUUUUAUCAACUCGAAAAUUUAUGAAAUUAUGAUUAUCAUCGUAUUCUCCGCUGUGCUACAGCAAAAUUGGUAUAUUACAUGGUUUUACAAGUCUCAACUUAAAAUCAAAUCUCAACAGUGCAAAUUUCAGUACUCUUAAUGUGAAAAAGUGAAUUUGAGCAAGAAAUCUUUUCAAUUUAAAUCAGCCACCGUGAUUCAGACCUCCAUAUGUUCAUAUUUCCAAAUUGACAACAGAAUUUCAGUUAAAAAAUAAUUUUUGCUUGACGCUUUUAUACAGCUUGAGCGCUAAACUUCUUUUAUCUCCAAAAUCGAAUCUCAAUAGGGCAAAUUUCAACUCUAUUAAUGUCAAAUACUGAAUUUCACAAGAAAAUUUCUCCAAGUAAAAUCAGCUGUUAUGAUUCAAACCUCCUAAUCUCCAGAUUGAGAAUAGAAUUUUAGUUCAAAAUUAGGUUUUUCGAUGUUUUUACACAGUUUGAGCACUAAACUUCUUUAAUCUCCAAAAUCAAAAUCUGAACAAAAUGAUGCGAAUUUGAGUUGCAAAUGUUUCACCAUCUUCGAACUCAAAGAAGCUGCUACAACUCCUAUCUGCAAAUUAAAAAUAUUUUUGGUUCAACAGAAUUUAAGUAGAAAAAAGUUUGAUUUUCAGCUGUUCUCUUUCUAUUUUUCAGCUUAUGCAUCGCGAUCUUCAAAUCUUCAAAAACGAUUUUGUGAUCUACAGUUUUUGCUGGUGGAAUCUCAGUUUUUAUGCGCUAAAUUUUAUGAAAUUCUAUCAAAAUUUGAGCUUUUUUUCCGUUUUUAUAGUUAGGGCAUUAGGUGUUUGACCGUUAUUUUGGGUUUCAGCGUCUUUUAUCAACCCUAAACUCUCUAGAAGCUAUUUUUAAGAGGAUUUUCUUCCCAAAUUCAUUGGUAAGCAAUUUUAACUAAUUUUCAAUCAAUUUCAAUUACUUUCCCCAUCAAUUUUAUCAUCAAAUCUAUGAAUUUUAAAGUAGAAAUUAGGGGUUUUGGAUAGAAAUUAGGGUUUUUUAAAAUUGAGAUUUAAACCUCGAAUUGACGCCGGAUUUCGAAACAAAUCAUAUAACUGGGCUUAGGGAUGAAUGGAUAAUCGAGAUUUGUUUAGAAUCUGGAGUUUUGACCAGGUGGACCUAGAGUUAACUUUUGUUGACUUUUUCAAUUUAGCUAAAGAUUCAAACUUUUUCAUUUGUGGGUAGUUUCUAAAGCUUGUUUUGGAUUAUUUGAAUGAUAAUUGGCUAGAUUCGGUUGGUUUGGAGGCUUGUUCCGAAGGAAAAGCCAUGAUUGAUUGUUGAUUUGAUUCCGAAAAGAGGUAAGUGUCGUGGUUAACCUUGACUUGAAGGAAAUUUGGACUUGAUUGGUCUAUUUGCUAUUUAAUUUAUGUGUGGGGAUGGCGUAUAUGCAUGGUGACGAGUGUAUAUGCAUUAUCAUGGGUGAAGAAUGCGAGACGUGCUACUUAAUUGCAUGAUUUCAUUCAUACUUUGCAUUAUUUUAUUUCAUGUUAUUAUUCAUUCCUUGCUUUAAUUACUACUUGCCUUUACUUGUUAAAUUCAUGCUUCCCUUUGUUGCAUGCCUUAAUUUGUUAUAAGUUUCCAUGUACACAUGCCAUCAUUUAUUGACCGCCUUUACAUGCUUAUUGCUUUUAUAUGUUUUUAGUUAGUUGCUUUUACUUGUCUUAUAUCUUUACUUGUUUAAUUGCCUUACUUGCUUCCAUUUCACUAUAUUAUGUCUAUUAAACUGUCUUAGAGAUAUUGUUGGUUUAGUUCCCUUUUUGCAUUACGUUGUGAGAUAUGUCGUAGUUGGUUGUAGUGUUGUACAUAUAUAAUAUGUUUUUGGGAUCGGGUUGCACACUACAAUGGUAUUGAUAUGAUAUUUGAGAUCGGGUUGCAUGCCACAAAAGUAUUGAUAUGAUAUUUGGGAUUAGGUUGCACACCGCAACGGUUAUAUUACAAUUGUUUUUGGUUGUUGAUUCUACUUCUUUGUUGUAUGGUGAAAUUGAGCAUAGAUGAUAUUCUAGGGCUCUAUGUGUCACAACCCAAAAUCCCAACCUAUUGUGAUGGUGACUAACAAAUGACUAGACAAGCCAACAAUCACAUACCAACUACGCAUUUGAAUUAAAAACAUGAUUUAAUAAGUUUAACAGUGUAAAGUCUCAUAAAUAACUUAUAAAAACAACUGCAAGUCAACUACAACAAUCUCAAAAUCCUGGUGUCACCGAGUACAUGAGCUACUAAGUGUCAACAUAGUCUGAAAUUGUGAAAAUCCGGCUGGUUGUCUCAUGAGUUACUACUCCGUUUUCCCCAUUUCAACUUCUUUAUGCUUCGUUAUUUGUGUUUUUGUGGUAUCGGGUUAGUCGGAUCGAGUCCGAAAUGAGUUUGGUGAAGUUUGAGACACUUAGUCUCUUUUAAGAAGGCUUAAGUUGGAAAAGUCAACCGGAUAUUGACUUUGUGUUGGAAGGCUCGGAAGUGAGUUCGGAUGGUUCGGUUAGCUUCGGGAGGUGAUUUGUGACUUAGGCGCGUGAUCGGAAUGGGUUUUGGAGGUUCGAAGUAGAAUUAGGCUUGAAUUGGCGAUGUUGAUAUUUUGGCGAUUUCCGGUUGUUAGGCGAGAUUUUGAUAUAGGGGUUAGAAUGGAAUUCCGAGAGUUGUACUAGCUUCGUCGUGUCAUUUGAGAUAUGUGUGUAAAAUCAGGUCAUUCGGACAUGGUUUGGUUGGGUUUUUGAUCAAAAGCGUAUUUCGGAAGAUUUUUAAUACUUACGCUUGAAUCCUAUGUGAUUUGGUAGAUUUGGUGUUGUUUGAGGUGUUUUGAUGAUUGAGACAAGUUUGAAUAAGGUAUUGGGUUAUUUCACCAUUUUUGGACCUCGGCUUGGGAACGUUUGGACGAUUUUGAAGGGAGAUUUCAAGGGAAGUUCGUUAAGGUAAGGAUUUUGGACCUAAAACACACUUCUAUGGUAAUAUUUCAUGGAUUAGGGCUGAAAUUAAAGGAGUUAAAAGGCCAAAAAUAGAGGUUUAGGGCUUGAGUUUAAGAAGGAUUUAAAUGGGGAUUUGAGGGGUCAUUUGGACUCCGAUUUUGACGUUGUUGAUAUGUAUGAACUCAUGAGUGGAUAAGGAACCAGUUGAUGUAAAAAUUUCUGAAUUUCGAGAAGUGGGUCCAGGGCUCGGGUUUUGGUCAAUUUAGGGAUUUUUGGUAUUUUUCGAUUGUUUUCACUUGGGCUUUGUUCCCUUAGCAUAUUGUGACGUAUUCGUUCUGAUUUUAGAUAGAUUCGACACGCGUGGAGGCUGAUUCGAGAGGCAAAGGCAUCGCGAGUUAGAGAUUUAGCCGGUUCGAGGUGAGUAAUGAUUGUAAAUGAUGCUCUGAGUAUUUGAAACCCCGAAUUUGCACAUCGUAGUGCUAUAUUGAGGUGAGGCACACGCUUGAUGACGAGCGUAGGGUCGUGCACUAUUGGGGAUUGUGAUUUGGUCCGUCCCGAUUGAUGAUUUUACUGCGUAUUUGACUGAAACUUAUUGGCUAUCAUCAUGAUUUGGGCUGAUUGCCAACUAUUUGAACCAUUCGGGGAUUUUUAUUACUAUUUCCUCACUAUUUUGACUUAAUACUUGAACUCAGUCAUGUCAUUUUUCACUGUUUUACUACUCAGCCAUUUUUACUCUGUUUUGAGACUUAAAUGAUGUUUUGGGCUGAGAAAUACUAUUUUACUAUUGCCCGAGGUGCUUGUGAUGAUUUUUGGACUGAGUAAGGUCGAUGGUCUAGUUGUGAGGAUACACUGAUACUGAUGUGAGGCUGAGGGCCUGAGAUGUAUAUAUAUAUACGCCAUGAGGUGGCUUGAUUGAUAUGAGGCCGGAGGCCUAGAUUUGAUGCCACGAGAUGACUUGAUAUUGCACUUGGGUCGUAAGGGGCCCCUCCCAGAGUUUGUACACCCCCAGUGAGCGCGGGUACCCAUUAUAAUGUGAGAUCGAGUCCAAGGGGCUGAUAUUGUUCUGAGAUUGAGCCCGAGGGGCUGGUACUAUACUGAGAUUGAGCUCGAGGGGCGGAUUUGUUGAUACUGUGCCCGAGGGGCGAACUUCUAUUUUCUACUUACCUGUCAAUUACUUGUUUUACUUGUUGAAAAGGGAUGUUACUUGACUCUUCAUUGUUUUACUAUUUUAAGUAAUUUUUACUGCUUCAGUAUAGAAUGCCUUGUGUUUUACGUAUUUUCUUACUUUCAGUCGUUAUUUAAAUUUGUUACUCACUGAGUUGGAGUACUCACUUUACUCACUGCACUCUGUGUGCAGAUUCAGGCGUAGCUGGUACCGCUCCUGAGUGCUGAUUCCUCCAGUUCCAGGCGGUUUUCGGAGACUACGAGGUAGCUGUUGACAUCCGCAGCCCCGUAUCUCUACUUCUCUAUCAUUUCUAUUUCCUUUCAAACACUUGUAGUAGUUUAUAACUUUAGCAGACUAGUAUUAUGGUUUAGAGAUGCUCGUGACUUGUGACACCCCGGUUAGGGCUGUGUCGGAUUGGACUUUCCGCAUUAUUAUCGAUAUUUCCGCUAUUUAGUAUUGUUUAAAUCAUGUUUAGACUAUUUUUAUGUUGAUUAAUUGCUUUAAAAGUUGAGUUGGGUUGAACUGGCUGGCCUUCUCUUCACAAGAGGUGCCAUCACGACCGGGUUUAGGGUUAGGGUCGUGACAAGUUGGUAUCAGAGCCUAGGUUACAUAGGUCUCACGAGUCAUAAGCAAGUUUAGUAGAGUCUCGCGGAUCGGUACGGAGACGUGUGUAUUUAUCCUCGAGAGGCUACAGAACCUUUAGGAAAAAGCUUCAUAUUCUUGAAAUUCUUGUCGUGCGAACUUGUUAAUCCGAGAACUGAACUUCUGUUAUUCCAUUCUCUUACAGAUGGUAAGGACACGCGCUACCGGGCGGGGUGGACGACCACCAGUGCCACCAGAUGAGACCAC